UAGGGAAUAUUGCACAAUGGGCGAAAGCCUGAUGCAGCAACGCCGCGUGCGCGAAGAAGGCCUUCGGGUUGUAAAGCGCUUUUCGGGGAGAAGAGGAAGGACAGUAUCCCCGGAAUAAGGCUCGGCUAACUACGUGCCAGCAGCCGCGGUAACACGUAGGAGCCAAGCGUUAUCCGAAUUCACUGGGCGUAAAGCGCGUGUAGGCGGUCUUACAAGUUGGGUGUGAAAGCUCCUGGCUCAACUAGGAGAGGACGUUCAAUACUGUGAGACUAGAGGACGGCAGAGGAAGGUGGAAUUCCCGGUGUAGUGGUGAAAUGCGUAGAUAUCGGGAGGAACACCAGAGGCGAAGGCGGCCUUCUGGGCCGAUCCUGACGCUCAGACGCGAAAGCUAGGGGAGCGAACAG
rnacentral:rRNA from 1 species